rnacentral:lncRNA from 1 species
CGCGGAGUGAAUGUAAAGUUCAAUGUGGGUGUCAGAAUUUCAUAUCUCAUCUCCUCACCUCUGAUCAUGUCAUCAGAAACCUGUACCGACGUGGACGCGGAGCUGGGACAGCUGCUGCAGGACUUCAACGACGCCGCGGAGGACCUGCGACUGUCGUCGAAGCCGCACGCCGAGCUGAGCGACGGUGGCUUCACGACAGAGUCCUCAAGCAGCAGUGUCGCAGGAAGAGGGACGUCGCGGGGAAACGACCAUUCAGCCAAACUCGGUGACACCAGUGACCUUCAAAACUUCAUUGAUAAUCUGGACCGGGAACUGGCUGACAUGUGAGCAGAAACACACACACAGAGGGAUGCAUGAAGAUUCUGCAGGAACCAGCGUGUUUUAGCUUCAUAGUCCUGUGGAAUUCUGAUAUGUUUAUUAAAAUUAAAUAAUGUGUUUUCAAGUGAAAUUCUGUACAUUUUUACACCCAUUCUUGUACUUCAGUUAUACUGAUUGUUUACAUAAAUGUAUAUCUUUUUUUGUUCAUCAGUUUAUUUUUGUUUAAAUAAUUUCACAGAUUUUUCAAUAAAUGUAUUUUAAAUACCA